UAAGCAUAUCAAUAAGCGGAGGAAAAGAAACUAACAAGGAUUCCCCUAGUAACUGCGAGUGAAGCGGGAUGAGCUCAAAUUUAAAAUCUGGCGUCUUCGGCGUCCGAGUUGUAAUUUAGAGAAGCGUUUUCCGCGCCGGACCGUGUACAAGUCUCCUGGAACGGAGCGUCAUAGAGGGUGAGAAUCCCGUCUUUGACACGGACCCCCGGUGCUCUGUGAUACGCUCUCGAAGAGUCGAGUUGUUUGGGAAUGCAGCUCAAAAUGGGUGGUGAACUCCAUCUAAAGCUAAAUAUUGGCGAGAGACCGAUAGCGAACAAGUACCGUGAGGGAAAGAUGAAAAGCACUUUGGAAAGAGAGUGAAACAGUACGUGAAAUUGUUGAAAGGGAAACGCUUGAAGUCAGUCGCGUCCGCCGGAACUCAGCCGCAAGGUGUACUUUCCGGUGGACGGGCCAGCAUCACUUUCGAUCAUCGGAAAAAGGCAGAGGGAAUGUGGCACCUCCGGGUGUGUUAUAGCCCUUUGUCGUAUACGGUGACUGGGAGUGAGGACCGCCUUUUGUAGGAUGCUGGCGUAAUGGCUUUAAACGACCCGUCUUGAAACACGGACCAAGGAGUCUAACAUGCCCGCGAGUGUUCGGGUGGAAAACCCGUGCGCGUAAUGAAAGUGAAAGUUGGGAAGGCUGUCGCGGCCUGCACCGACGCCCGGACUUGAGAUUUAUCGAAGGUUCUGCGGUAGAGCGUGUAUGUUGGGACCCGAAAGAUGGUGAACUAUGCCUGAAUAGGGUGAAGCCAGAGGAAACUCUGGUGGAGGCUCGUAGCGAUUCUGACGUGCAAAUCGAUCGUCAAAUUUGGGUAUAGGGGCGA
rnacentral:rRNA from 1 species